rnacentral:rRNA from 1 species
UACGUAGGGUCCGAGCGUUGUCCGGAAUUACUGGGCGUAAAGAGCUCGUAGGUGGUUUGUCGCGUUGUUCGUGAAAACUCACAGCUUAACUGUGGGCGUGCGGGCGAUACGGGCAGACUGGAGUACUGCAGGGGAGACUGGAAUUCCUGGUGUAGCGGUGGAAUGCGCAGAUAUCAGGAGGAACACCGAUGGCGAAGGCAGUUCUCUGGGCCGUAACUGACGCUGAGGAGCGCAAGCGUGGGGAGCGAACAGG